UACGGAGGGUGCAAGCGUUAUCCGGAUUCACUGGGUUUAAAGGGUGCGUAGGCGGGCAGGUAAGUCAGUGGUGAAAUCUCCGGGCUUAACUCGGAAACUGCCGUUGAUACUAUCUGUCUUGAAUAUCGUGGAGGUUAGCGGAAUAUGUCAUGUAGCGGUGAAAUGCUUAGAUAUGACAUAGAACACCCAUUGCGAAGGCAGCUAACUACACGAUCAUUGACACUGAGGCACGAAAGCGUGGGGAGCAAACAGG
rnacentral:rRNA from 1 species